rnacentral:rRNA from 1 species
AUUGAACGCUGGCGGCAGGCCUAACACAUGCAAGUCGAGCGAGCGGCGGACGGGUGAGUAAUGUAUGGGGAUCUGCCCGAUGGAGGGGGAUAACUACUGGAAACGGUUGCUAAUACCGCAUACUAUCGGAUGUGCCCAUAUGGGAUUAGCUAGUAGGUGAGGUAACGGCUUACCUAGGCGACGAUCCCUAGCUGGUCUGAGAGGAUGAUCAGCCACACUGGGACGGAGACACGGCCCAGAGUCCUACGGGAGGCAGCAGUGGGGAAUAUUGCACAAUGGGCGCAAGCCUGAUGCAGACAUGCCGCGUGUAUGAAGAAGGCCUUAGGGUUGUAAAGUACUUUCAGUCGGGAGGCGUUACCCACAGAAGAAGCACCGGCUAACUCCGUGCCAGCAGCCGCGGUAAUUC